UACGGAGGGUGCAAGCGUUUAUCCGGAUUCACUGGGUUUAAAGGGUGCGUAGGCGGGCAGGUAAGUCAGUGGUUGAAAUCCUAGAGCUUAACUCUAGAACUGCCAUUGAUACUAUCUGUCUUGAAUAUUGUGGAGGUAAGCGGAAUAUGUCAUGUAGCGGUGAAAUGCUUAGAUAUGACAUAGAAACACCUAUUGCGAAGGCAGCUUA
rnacentral:rRNA from 1 species